GACGAACGCUGGCGGCGUGCUUAACACAUGCAAGUCGAACGAAGUGGCGAACGGGUGAGUAACGCGUAAUCAACCUGCCCUUCAGCGGGGGACAACAGUUGGAAACGACUGCUAAUACCGCAUACGGAAGGAGGGGAUUGAGUCUGAUUAGCUCGUUGGAGGGGUAACGGCCCACAAAGGCGAGGAUCAGGAGCCGGUCUGAGAGGAAGAACGGCCAAAAUUGGACUGGGACACGGCCCAGACUCCUACGGGAGGCAGCAGUGGUGAAUCUUCCGCAAUGGACGAAAGUCUGACGGAGCAACGCCGCGUGAGUGAUGACGGGCUUCGGGUUGUAAAGCUCUGUUAAUCGGGACGCGGUACCGGAAUAGAAAGCCACGGCUAACUACGUGCCAGCAGCCGCGGUAAUUC
rnacentral:rRNA from 1 species